rnacentral:rRNA from 1 species
UAUGUGAUCGUCUCUCGCAUAUCAAUAAGCGGAGGAAAAGAAACUAACAAGGAUUCCCCUAGUAACGGCGAGUGAAGCGGGAAGAGCUCAAAUUUGAAAUCUUAAAGGGUUUCCCUUUACGAAUUGUAGUUUAAAGAAGUGUUUUCUGUUGAGGUUUUGGUAAAAGUUCUUUGGAAUAGGACAUCAUAGAGGGUGAGAAUCCCGUAUUUGGACCUUACUUUCUAGCUUUGUGAAUACACUUUCAAAGAGUCGGAUUGUUUGGGAAUGCAGUCCAAAAUGGGUGGUAAAUUUCAUCUAAAGCUAAAUAUUGGCGAGAGACCGAUAGCGAACAAGUACCGUGAGGGAAAGAUGAAAAGAACUUUGAAAAGAGAGUUAAACAGUACGUGAAAUGGUCAAAAGGGAAGCGUUUGACACCAGUGUUGUUUUUCUGAAAAUCAAUUAAAGAACUGUUUAUGCUAAGCCGUUUAGACUUUAUCAGCUAUCUGUUUAGUUUUGAGCUUUUCUUUAAUGCACUUUUCAGUUAACAAGUCAACAUCAAUUUCUUUUGCUGUAAAAAAGCUUGAGGAAGGUGGCUUGAGAUUCGUCUUAAGUGUUUAUAGCCUCUUGCCUAUGCAGUCGGAGAGAUUGAGGUCUGCAGCGUAGAUCCUCCGGGGCUAAAUGCAUUUGUGCUAAGUUAUAGCAUUUUAUAGACAACUUGUUGACUAUGAUUUGUCUUGUAGCUUACUCGCUUAUGUUAUUUUACCUACGCUUAGGAUGUUGAGCGCAUGUCUCUCUCU